UUUUUUUUUAACUUUCAAAGCUGCCUCUGUCUCCACCCCACACUCUCUCAAGUACUGAGUGGACUUGGCAUUCUCAGGAUUGUCAAAGUCACCCAGGUUUCCUGGGCUCAGACAAACUCCUGCAGGACUACCCCAUCCGAAUAAUUGCUGAAGGCUCGAUUCCUCAAAUGAAAUGAAACCUCUUUCAGGGUGAUCUGUCUCGCUCAGGCUCCCAGCCUGGGGAUGAGCCUUGCUUCCAGGCGAGCUCCUCCGGUUUUCUCCAUCCUGUCCUGUGCUCAGAGAGUCUCCAUAGCCAUCUUCCCCAAAUAGGGUUUUCCUUCCCCUUCCUGAGCUGGGUCCUCCUGUGCUCACCUCUACUCAGCCUUCCACGAAUGAUUCUAUCACAGAGAACAAGGCUCUUCUGACCAGGGCAGGAGGGGAGGACACAGAAAAAGUUAAAGUUGUAGUUUUAACCCCAAAAGCAGAGGGCUUGAGAAGAGAGGAAAGAGAAUCAGAACAGCUUGAGACGAAACAGAAAAAGGGAAACCGACAAGGAGUUCAGUACAAAACAGGUGUCUGAUGGGACCUCAGCAAAGCAGGCAACAAAUCCAGCUCAGGAGGGUAGACGACAGGGCCCCUGGCCAAGGCCAGACGUCCUGCAUUUGUGACAUGAAUAGGCAGUUUUACAGAUUGGUUCAAAUGUGUGCUGCACAUUGGAAUGUGUGGGAGCGUGAGUUGCGGGUGGAUGGCGUAAAGUGAGGCGGGAGCCCCGUUGAAAUCCAUUCUCCACUGGGCUAAGUGUAAAUGUUUUUAUUUAUUACCUUUUCCUUUUUUAAAUCAUAGUGAAAUUGACCUCUAGACCACAGAGGGUGGUGAAGUUUCUGUCAGGGUCUUAUCCUCAAAUCGCCUCCCGGAGAACUUCAUUUUAAAAAGUGGAGAGCAGGCAGAGGGAGUCUGUUCUUGGUUUGAAGCUUGCCCAGAAUCCAGGUGGGAAAGACUAAGACACCAGAAACCCACUGGCUAUUCUCCCGAGGUCCCCUCUCAGUGGCAGCCAAGUGGUGUCAUUUAGACUUCCUAAGCAGAGUAUGGUUACAAAGGUGCGGGAACAGCCCGUGAAACUUCCAGUCCUGGGUGUGGUGGAGUCCCUUCGAGGCCGGUAGGACUUGACAAUUUGGCUAGUGGAGAGUUUCUUCUGUGGCGACUGAGCAAAUGUAUGUGUGUAUUUUAUUUGCAGAGCACCCUCUGUGCGCUGGCUCUGUGCGGCCCAGGGGACACAGUAGGGCCCGAGACAGGUGCAGUGCCUGCCCCAGUGGAGCUUAGGAUCCAUCAACGGCCAGAGGAUCAGGAUAUGGAGAGCCCCACAGAGAGCUCAGACGGCCUCCCACCCUCACCUCUCCCCGCAUAGCCUUCUCUUUCCUCCCCUCCUUGAUUUUUCUUUCCUGAACAGAAUUCAGCCAAGCUCACUUUAAAACAGAGAAGCCUACUGUGACAAUUUAGAUGGAGGCAGCCCAGCACAGGGGACACGGCACAGGC
rnacentral:lncRNA from 1 species